rnacentral:rRNA from 1 species
AUUGAACGCUGGCGGCAGGCCUAACACAUGCAAGUCGAACGAGUGGCGGACGGGUGAGUAAUGUAUGGGAACCUGCCUGUUGGCGGGGGAUAACUACUGGAAACGGUAGCUAAUACCGCAUACCAUCGGAUGUGCCCAGAUGGGAUUAGCUAGGAGGGGGGGUAACGGCGCACCUAGGCGACGAUCCCUAGCUGGUCUGAGAGGAUGACCAGCCACAAUGGAACUGAGACACGGUCCAGAGUCCUACGGGAGGCAGCAGUGGGGAAUAUUGCAAAAUGGGCGCAAGCCUGAUGCAGCAAUGCCGCGUGUAUGAAGAAGGCCUUCGGGUUGUAAAGUACUUUCAGCGGGGAGGCGUUACCCGCAGAAGAAGCACCGGCUAACUCCGUGCCAGCAGCCGCGGUAAUUC